GAGAGCCGUGUACAUGGAGACAUGUAAGCACGGUUCGGGAGGGGGUUAUUGGAAACCUAAUAGAGUAAUCUACCAAGGCGCCGAUAGCCUACCUCAC
rnacentral:ncRNA from 1 species